rnacentral:rRNA from 1 species
UACGUAGGAGGCGAGCGUUGUCCGGAUUUACUGGGCGUAAAGCGCGCGCAGGCGGCACUUCAAGUACGGUGUGAAAUCUCCCUGCUCAACGGGGAGGGUGCAUUGUAAACUGGAGAGCUAGAGGACGGUAGAGGGGGGUAGAAUUGCUGGUGUAGCGGUGAAAUGCGUAGAGAUCAGCAGGAAUACCCGUGGCGAAGGCGGCCCCCUGGGCCGAACCUGACGCUGAGGCGCGAAAGCUAGGGGAGCAAACGGG